rnacentral:lncRNA from 1 species
UUAUUUUCUCUCAUACUGUUUAAUGGCGCGAUAUUCAGCAAGGAUCUGUGGUAACCAGCUGGCAGUCACCGCAGACCCGCUCCAAGAAGGAGUCCCAGCGCCUCCUCGCUCGCGCCACUCUCCCUCCCCGCAGCAGAGGGGCUGCGGCCAGUCCAUCUUCGUGCCUAAUAUUCCCAAGCCUAUUGUCCGUUCUUGGUCUAAUGUAGGGCAUUCUCGCAGACUGAGGGUGAUUUUCAGGAAAGGUCUGUAAUAAUGCUCUGCGGCUGUGAUCUCGAGGCUUUUGAAAUCCGCUUUCCCGCUUCCACCCCACCUUCUUCCCAAGCAUUUCAUCCCUGGCGAGAAGAUUAAUGUCCUCACAACAAAAGAUGACUUUCGGAGCAGAACCUGCCCAAUAACCAGAAGUGGCAAGUAAAAGAGGCACGGUGCUGACCUCUCUCAGUGACAUGAACAAGAAGCAAGUGGAGGAGCCUUUCGUUCUGCUUAGAAAGAGCGCAGACCUCUGGGGCAGGAAGCGCCCGGCUCCGCUCACUUCUCUGAGACCCAUUGCGAAAGGUGAGCAAACCUGAACGCUCUCGCCCUCUUUCCCCAAUUAGUUCAGACGGCAAUCGACCUUCAAAGAUAUCCAUUGCAGGGGCGUUUUUCUGGUGAUGAUGCUGUGAAAAUAAUUUUCUUUUUGAAGGACUUUCCUUCUAUUCUCUCCCCAUGGCAACUUUAGAAAAUUUGAUCCAACGCACACACGUGCGCGCAAACCUCUCAGGCUAUCCACAAGCUCUCUAGAAACCUCCCCCAAAUAGAUGCACAUCUAAUCAACUCCACGUGAUUAAAGAAAUCCUGCACACCUCACAGCUUUUGGAAGAAGACAAAGAAGGGGCUACCAGCACCCACUCUUUUUCUCCUGAUCCAUAGAGAGUUCACAGUUAUUUUGUCAUGCCCUUGUGAAGCAGUGACUGACAGAAGGAAUCUGGUCCUUCACACCUUCAUACAUUUCUCUCCUGGAGACUGGAUACAACAGAGGCAUGCCCCAUGGACUGUGAAAGCAUAUGUGAAAAGACUGACAAUGGAAACUGAGAUUUCCUAGCCUGGGGUAUGGAAGAUCAAAGAGUAAUUUAAUAAUAAACUUCAAAUAUUGAAAAAAUACAUUUAGAUCAUGAUUCUCCAUCAAUAUUAAAGAUGGACUAAAAAGAAAGAACCUGAACAGUGGAAUAAGAAAGUAAAGUUCGAUGCAGUGAUUUUCAUAGCUGAAACAGAAAUAAAUUACCCAAGGAGGCAGCACGUUCUUCAUUGUUGAUGCUCAAUGGGAUGGAUUUUCAUCGGCUGGAAAUAGUUUCAAAAGAGCAGAGUAACAUGCAAGACAAAAUUUUUAGCUUAAAAUCUGUGACUCUCUGAUGACAGACUAAUCAAAACUUUAACAUCUAGUUCAACAUAUCAUGAUCACAACUUUAAUUCUAAAGCUGAGAUUAGGAAUAAAAGCAUAAUUACCUCCCUCCCAAAUGGAGUUAGUCUGUAUAUCAAGCCUUUGGCUUUGAUAUAACUGGGAGUGUCAACUGAUUCUGUCUUUAGCAAGUUGAACACAAGUACCUUCUAUUAUCUGUUACCUAGUACCUCUGUUUUUUAUUCUUUAUACAAGAUAGAAAGCAAAGGAGAAUGCUUUUGAAUAUAUUCAUGUGAAAUUCUUUUGGACACCAACCAAAUACUCACCUUCAUAUAACAAUGAAAUUAAUUGUAGCAUGGUCUUAGUAAGCACAUUUUGUGAAAUGCAAGGAGUAAAUCAUUAUAGAAAAGAAAUGAUGGUUGCUAUAAGACUAGUGUAUAUAAAGUUCCAGUUAAUGGUUUUUGAAUAAGUUUGGCCAACGAUUGUAUUCAACAUUUUAAAAAUUUGCAUAUUAUGAAUUAGCAAAUAGUUUGUCUAAAAAGUCCUGGCAUUUAUUAUUUUUAUUUUCUUCUGUUACAUAAGUAAUAAGGUUUAUUGUUAAACUUGGAGAAUACAAGAAAGUAUAGCAAGUAAAAGAAAAAUCAUUCAUAUUCCUACCACUCAGAGGUAACUACUGUUAACGUUGUGGAGCCAAUUUCCUCCCAGUCUUGGAAACCAUGUUUUAUCAGCAGGGUGUUUUUCUUUCCUUUUUAACUCUCUCCUCUCUUUUUUUCCCCAUGAGUUGAACAUCCAUAUCAUUACAUUUCCUACCAAAACGUUAUUUUUAAAGUCUGCAAGACGUCAUCAAAGGGAUGAACUACAAGAUAAUCUUUCAUUAUUAUAUUGUUAGGAUUUAGUCAAUCCUAAUCAAGAGUCGAGACAGAAACCUCUCUACCUGUGAUAGGCAGAAAAACAUUUAACACCAGGAACUAGGCUCUUAUAAAAUUGUAGAAGGUGGAUCUGGGCUGGGUCCUAGGAAUGACUCCUAGAACACCACCACAGAACUGACGCCUGUGGGGACUCAGGAGACCCCUGCUGGGAUUGCUGACUUCAGGAACACACUGCCAUUGUAGUGAUCCAAGAAGCAGGACCAUUGCCACCACAGCCACAGCUGCCCAUGUUACUCCUCAAAUGAGUGAUGGACACGGGAGCGCUUCUUCAGGAGAAGCCAGUGUUUCCACUACCAUGUUUGCCAACAGAAAACAAAAAGAAACCCCUGGGUCAACAGGAAGCCGUACUCUGCUUUACUUCUACUCUCUGCGUAUCAUGCGAGUGAGUCUAGUUGGGAGAACCUAAUUUGCAUACGGAUCCUGGAGGUAAGGGAUACUGGGCUGCGUUGGUUUUAGCUUUCCAGUCUCUGCAGAGCAGAGGGGCCACAAGAACGAGGUUGGAAGGAUACAGAGUCCUCGCCCACGAUGUCUACCACAACUACUGUCAUUAAGGCUGUGAGGAAUGUCUUUGACGUGGAUCUUUGUCCACAUUGCUGUUUACUUCCUUGCAGUAGAUUCCUGGAGGUGAAAUUACUAAGCCAAAGAAUAGAAACUUUUUACACUCUUGAGAUAUAGAUUGUGAAACUGCUUUUCAGAAAAGUCACGUCACCAUAUAGGCAAGAUGUGAAAGUGCUCAUAUCACCACACCCUUACCCAUCUUGACUAUUAAAUCUCUUUUUAAAAUCUUCAAGAUCACCAUCAAUGAUGGAAAUCUGAUCCUUGUGUUAGUAAGAAAAAACAAGACUCUCUCUAGGAUAUCCAAGGGAAUUAUUAGAUUAUGUAUCCCUAAACAGCCAUUACGAAUGAAGUCCUCAGCAACGACAUAGCUAAUCAUAUUGUUUGCCUUCAGAAAAGACACUUUACAGAGAGCCUGUGCAAGGCCUUGAAGUAGCAGGCCGCUGGCGUGGGAUGGAAGCAGAGGCUGUGCAGUAACGGUAAUUGCUGAGGUGAAAGGCUAGGGAGGGGGCAUAGAUAUUUGAAGCUGUUUUCCCUGAUGGAAACAAACGGCAGUGUCAAGGUGUCCACUGGGCCUUCUUUAUCCAUUCACCUGUCAUUUCCACCUCUAAGUCACACCUGUUAGACAAACAGUUGAAACAAAAACAGUCUCUUGCUAGGCAAAUACAGCUUCACAGAGUCCCUCUGGGUGUCCCAGUUCUGUUCAGACUGUAGCCUGAAGCCCUUCCGAAAUACAAAUCCUGCAGCUGCGUUCUUGGAACCUAUGACCACUUCUACUCCUCUCACAGUAAGAGCAGAAAUAAAAAAGAUUCCUUAAAGAACCCUCACCUCCAGCCCUGGGUGGAUUCCAAUGGCUACAACCAUAUGCAUGCAUAGAACUAACACCAGUGUCCUGAAAAAUGACCAUAAUUGUCAUCUCUAUGUAGCGUGGGUUCAUUUCGGUCCAUGAAAACCCCUCAGGUUCGCUUGCUCGUGCAGUGUCUCUCUCUCAAACUUUCUCUUGUUUUCUGUACUCUCUUCUUCUCUUGCUAAUCACUGGCUGAUCCCCUCAAUCAGAAGUCCACCUCCGGAUCAAUCAGAGGUCACUCCUUCCCAAAGGAAGGUCGACCAUUGCUUCUGAGCUGAGGACUUGCAGGAGGCUGUUUAGGUAGAACAGCGGUUCUCAAAGUGUGGCCCUGGAUCAUCAGCAGCAGCAUCUGGAACUUGUGAGAAAAGCAAAUUCUCAGGCCCCACAACAGGCCUAUUGAAUCAGAAACUAGUUGUGACCCAGUUACCUGUGUUUUAACAAGGCAUCCAGGUGAUUCUUAUGCACACUAAAGUUUAAGAACUACUGGGCUAGCAGACAUUGGGGUGGGUGGCACUAUGACAGCUACACAUGGGAUAGCAUCCCGGGGGAAAUAAUUUGGCUUGGAUUAUGUAACAUGGUAGUGGGCCCAGGCAAAGUCAUUUUAUAAGAGAACAAAAUGCAGCAAAUUGUAUGGCUUUAUGUAGUUCUGGUCAACACAUUCUCACCAAAAAGGAAAAAAAGGUUUGACAUUCAAGAGCCAAGGCUUGUAGCAAUGCAAACAGAGGAACAGAGUUUAGAAAAACAUAAUAACGUGAAGUUCCAUUUUUGAGAUUUGUAAAAGGAGAUGCCACUGGGAUUUUUAAAGGGAAGAUAGCAGCUGUCUUUAAUGUUUCACUCUCUGAUGCGGUAGGAAGAACCCCAGACUGGGGGUCUGAGGAUCUGGGUUCUAGCCUCAACUCUUCUGUUCAUUUAUUUUGUGAUCUUGGGCAAAUCAGGAUCUCAGUUUCUUCAUGUGUAAAAUGAGUGUUAACUACAUCUUCUCUAAGGUCACUUUCAGUUCUAGAAUUGAACUAUCAUCCCAUGACAAAUCCUAUUAUCUUUGAGAUGGACAUAAAACUACCUGAUGGCUCCCUUGUGGGGCACUGGAGUUGGCCACCCCAAGAUAUGUCUCUGUGGCAUGAGGAUUAUUUUGGGCUGGUUACUUUUAAAAACUGCAGACAUGAAAGAAACUCUGAAAAGUAGAAUUUACUUACCCUUUGUUAAGAGACAUUUACAUUGUAAAGGAAAUCUCUAUCUGUAAAGGUGUCUCCCUCUCUGUACCAGGAAGAAGAGGGGAUGACCUUAUCUCUAGAAACUCUUAUCAGUGUGGAAGGCAAGGACUCAAGUCUGCAUAAUAACCUGACUCUUGUUUACUGUACUUGUGGGAUCAUUUCCCAUAACUGACUCUCCCCACCCCCAACAUCCUCCUUUGUCUUUAGCUGAAGAUGAUAUUUAAGGUGAUGGCUUCAGCCAUUUUGGUGAGUUGCUCAGUUUUCCUGAGCCUCUCCCAUGUAUGCAUGUUACAAAGCUCUGUUUAAUUUUCUCCUGUUAUUCUGUCUCAUGUGAAUUUAAUUCGUUCUCCGGCCAGAAGAACCCAGAGCGGGUGGAGGAAAUGCCUUCCUCCCCGACAGUUUGGCGACUUGGAUGGGAUAAAAUUUUACUGGCUUGACACUGCUCACUCCUGGACUGCUGCAGCCGAGAGGUCCUGGACCCCUGACAAGAGCCAGCAAGAGGUAAGCGUUCUUACCACGUCAGUCUCCUGGAUCUCUGCCUGCAGGGUCCAGUAGAAGCAAGAGUGGUGAGUUUUUUUGCUCUUCUAAAUUUAGAUUAGCAGGAGAAAAUCUUGGUGAGGCUAGCUUCUUGGAUUCAGUGACUCUAGGAUUUGGUUGAGUAUUCGUUAAUUGUAGAUCCUUUUCCUCCCAGAGAUAGUACUUUUCCUUGUCUCUGUCUUUUUGUUGUUUGUCAUACGACAUAGGCAUCUCUAUAAGCCUGUUGUCUGGGCCUUUUGUCUUGUUCUAUGUCUUGAGAGCUUGGUUUUAUGACCCUUCUGGUCUCCGCCAUCCAGAGGAUGCAUGUACCAGCACACAUCUUGGCGGCCAGUAGACUGGGGUUCUGGGACACACUCUCUUUGUCCAGCUGUUUCAGCUCUCAGGGUAGUUUGUCAUAAGGGGUCCCAAUUUAUAUGGGGCCUUUGUCAUCAUCUCAACCUUUGUUGCUUACUGUGCAAUGAAGGCCUUUACUUUCUUAGACUAUUUUUGGGAGUGAACUUUCUGGAUCUCUUUUGGAGACGCCUCUUGCAUCCAUGUUUAAGAUUAUUGGUUGAGUCGCUGUUAAGAAAUUGGGCUUUGUUUGAUUUUCUCCUGUUAUUCUGUCUCAUGUGACCUUAAUUCAUUCUCCAGUCAGAAGAACCCAGAGUGGGUAGAGGAAAUGUCUUCUUCCCCUACAGCCUCCAGCCUUGAGAUGGAGACCUCCAAGUGGACAUCAGGGCAUGGAUUGUAAAGAGUUCCUUUGGUGUGAAGCCAUGACUAUCAGAAAGAAGACUUUUUAGGAAGCAGGACAAGGUAGUAGCAGGAAAGGAAAGACUGGGGGUAACCUGAGUUGUUAGGAAAGCCUGGGCAGUGCCCAGAAAAGAGAGAAAAAGGAAAUUGCAGACAUAAGGAGUCCCAGUCUAAGCUUUACAGCUAGAGAUUCAACUCACUAGAUAAAACCCAGAGGCUCCUCCAAAAGAAGAUGGAGGGAGCAGGAGACGAGCAACAUAAUUAAGUGAAAAAACACAAAAAAGUCAAGCAUCGACUAUUUCAGUCCUAGCAAAGCAAAUAGCUUUCUGCUAGGGAACUCUGAACAAUUCACACAUUCUCUGAGCCAGUGUUUCUUCCUUUCAAAAAACAGGAAGUCAAGGUCAAAAGGAGAUAACCAAAGUCACAUUUCUAGCACAGUUCUUGGCACAAAGUAUCCCCCUUUCUUUGCCUCCCAACCAGCUCCACAAAAAAAAGUGACUUGUCCAAUGCCACAAGGCAUACCCAGGACCCAAUGCCAGCCUCAGGACUCACAGGACGCCUUUCAAACAGCACCAGUCUACACCCAUUUUACAUUCCUUUUUUUUCUCCACUUGACUCAAAACAUCAACCUUAUCUGAUCCCUGUUUUGGUUUAGAAACAAAACACGCACAAAUAAAUUUGACCUUAUUGGUACCAUAUAAAGUAGUAACGCAUACGCUGGCUUUUCUCAGCACCAACCUGGCUUCCUAAGGGAAAAAAAUCAUAUGUCUAUCUCAUGUGCAUCAUUGUCCAUUGUAGGAAGAAGCAAAUUUUAUUAGUGUUUAUUGUUUAUGUCAAGGUUUGAGACGACUUUUUCAAAGGCUGAAUUUUCUCAGAGAAGUUUGCCUGGAUUACCAAUUCUAAAAAGCUGUUAUGCAUUUAGUUUAAUCUCUUGCCUGAGAGAAUAAUUUCUGCACAGAUAAAAGCAUAAGUGAAAAGCAGCUAUUGUGUGUGCACAGUAGCAUAUUUUUUAAACCCUGUCCUAUUAAGAAAGAGAGGAUAACAACAAAAGGUACCCUAAGAAUCAAGGUCCAUACUUUGCAUUACUAGGAGUCACGCCGUUAAAUCAAUGCAUGCUGGGUGGGAACUUCUCGCCUAAUGUGUGUACAAUUUCAUAGGUUCCUCGACUACAGAGCAAAAUGCACAGGUACUGUGAGCUUUCUUAAGUCUAUAAUUCUUUAAUAGCUUUUGCUUUCAAUGUUUCCCUCCCCACUUGUUCAGUAAAUGGUUCAUUUUAUAUUGAAAGUCAAAGAUAAUUGAGCUCAAAAGUGCUGACCUGGUAUUCUUUCUUAAAGGGUUAAUGACCAAUAGGCAACAAGUUGAUAUUAAAGUAAUGGAGGUGGAGGGGGAGGAAGUGUUGGGCUACACUUUAAAAUUUUUCCAUUUGGGGGAGAUUAAUUGACUUAUGACUGGUGGUGUCUGAACCAAAAUCAAUGCUACUAUAUAAUAUUAGAAACUAGACUCUGACAGGAGAGGUGUAAUCUCUCUCUAGGCUCUAUCUUAAGGGGGUCAUUGGGAACUGGGAGAGGUUCAAUAUCAAGCAACAAAGCUGAUUAAAUGAUAGCAAAAAGGCAGAGCCCAAAAGCCUUUAUAAUGAGGAUGGACAUUUAAUGUUCCUAUUUCUACUCAGGAAAGGAAAUAGCACGGCCAUGGUAUUUCCUAAAUUUGGUUGGAAAAACUGGCUAAACUAAAAGAAUGGAGAGGUAUAAAUUUGACACAAGAAAAGGAAAGAGUAAUCAAGGUAGCAAAAAAUUACAGAGGUGAGGUAAGAAAAGAGAGAGCCAGAGACUCCUACUGGAAGAAGAGGGGCCGUCAAGGUUUUCAAAUGAGAGAGAACAUGUUCAUCUUGAAACUGCACGCACUUCCCCACUUGUCAAACGGAAUUUGCAGAAUCAUGUCAAACAUUUCCACAAAUGCCUGCAAAUGCAGAUCUGGAAAGUGGUGUCUUGUCCAAACCAAACCCCUAAAGGGGUUUCUCUUCUCAUAUUCUUCUCGGUGGAACAUCUAGUUAUAACCAGUGCAGAGCUGCAGAGUCGGAGAGCUGAAGAAGCUCCAAGGAGCAGGCUGAGUGCCUUAGCCAAGGCAGCUGUGAUGACAGUCAGUCUUCAGUGGCUGGGUUACCCACCAGGCCAGGUAAAUCCUUAAAGAGACACGCACAUGUUCGUUGUAGAAGGAAGGGGAAGAAAUCACUCAAGGCCAAAGUGGGGAGUUUGAGCUUUGUGUUUAAUUAGGAUAUUUAUCUGUAAAGCCCUGAGAACUGAAAUGAGAUUGCUUUUGCUUUACUCUCCUUAAAAAGCACUCUUUACUCUUUACUAAGAGCUUAUUUAAAGAAAAAAGAAAUAUGGACUAGGUAAUUCAAGAGAAGAAUUCUGCCUGUCAACACUCUUCAAGCACAGACCAGUGCUGUUGUCCACCUGGGGCCGGUUGGAUCUAAGAUUCCCAUAUGUGUGUUCAACAUGGUACAUAUUUUGCAGCUCAAGGUGGUUCUGGGAAUGAAGGAAUUUACCAAGCAUGACUUGGAACUGGAACAUACGAAAGGAAGUUAUGAGCCCUGGGGCCAUCUUUAGUUCUAUUCUUGUCCUUGGUUCUGUCCUUUACACCUAUUCUUGCAUUAAAGGUUCUAUCCCUUAAUUUCUCCACUGGAAAAAAAUAUGGUGUAAUUCCCUCUCCUGUCUAACUUACAGAGAUGCUGCGAGAUUUAAUGAGCCAUUACUCAUGAAAGCCUUCGAACUCUUGCUAAAAAGGCACUAGAUAAAUUCAAUAUUAUUGUUACUAUCUUCAUUAUUCACACUUUUCCUCUGUCCAAGACCUACAUAUAACAUGUUAUUAUUGUCACUUUAGGUUAAUAGAAGCUUUGUCCUUUUUUCCCUCACUCUUAGCACCCAACGCGGUAAUAACAAAAUGCUUGUAUAUUUCCAACAUUUUUCCUACCAAUUGCCAUUAGGCUAUUUCAGGACUAUAUUUCAUUCACUAGAUCACAUACAACAGUAUUAGUGUGACAUAAACCAAAAGACACACUAAUCCACUAAUGAAAAUAAAAUUAUAGUACUUAUUUUCUCCCAUCUAUGAUCCAAAAGGUAAUUUUUAAGAAUAAUGUGCUGAUUACAGAUACCCGAGAAUAUGGAUUUUUUUCUUUUUUGAGCACAGUUUCUCAAAGCAUCUUUCUUUUGGAAUCUGGUACAGAUCAUCUAGAUUUUUUUCUUCUACAUGAGACAACGUGUUCAUCACCAAGCUCUCAAUUUUUUAAAAUUAAAACUUUAGUAACCAGAACAAAUGUUUUAUUAAGCAUGAAAAGUGCGCAAACACUUCUGUUGGAAGGAAUUUAACCAAGUUGCCAGGGAGAAGUGAGUGCACAUCUCUAUCAUAUAUCAAAUAGCAGUUCUGCAACCACCAGAGGGCCGGUUUCUCAGAGCUGGUCUGAACCACAUUCACCAGAAUCUCCAGGGAGCUUGUUAAGGGCAGAUACCCAGGCCCUAACUCACACCUGCUGAACUCAAACCUGUGUUGGGGCCAGAUCUAACAAAUCAAAAUAUAAAUACACAAAUAAAAAAUGCCCUAGUUGGGGCCUAGGAGUUUAUAGUUUAAUAAGCACUCCAGAUGGGUCUUAAGCACACCAAAGUUUGAAAGCCACUGGCCUAGGAAAUGCAGAUUCGAAAUUGCAGUGAACUGUCACUGCACACACUCCAGAAUGGGUAAAAUUCAAAAGGACUGACAACACUAACUGUUGCUGAGGAUAUACAGCAACUGGGAUUCUCGUAUGCUGGUUGUGAGAGUAUAAAACGGUACAAGCACUUUGUAAAAGAUCUGACAAUUUCUUAUAAAACCAAACAUAUACCUACCUUAUCACUCAGCAAUUCCACUCCUAAGUAUUUACCCAAGAGAAAUGAAAAUAUUAUGUUCACACAAAGACUUGCACAAGAAUAUUUAUAGCAGCUUUAUUCAUAAUAGCCCAGGUAUUUGUGCAUAGCAGAAUGGGCCAACAAACUGUGAUAUGUUCAUUCAGUGGCAAUAUGACUUGGCAAUAAAGGGAAUGGAGUAUCGAUGUAGGCAACACAGGGAUGAAUCUCAAAAACAUGCUAAGAGAAAGAAGCCUUAUGCAAGAGUAUAUACUGUCUGAUUUCAUUUACUUGAAGUUCUAGAACAAGCCAAAUUGUUCUAUGGUGAAAAAAAUUGAAGCAAUGGUUUCCUCUGGUAGAGAGCAAGUGGGGUUUAACUGGGGAGGGGUAUGAGAGAACCUUCUGGGAUGAUGGUAAUGUUCUGUAUCCUGCUAAGCAUUUGAGUUACAAAGAUGUCUGCAGUUGUUAAAAUUCAUUGAGUAGUACACUUAAGAGUUGUGUAUUUCAUUCUUUGUAAAUUUUACCUGAAAAGAAAAAAUGUAAACCAAUAUUCACUUUUGGUUUGCAACGUAUGUGCUGAAGUAUUUGAGGAGAAGUAUACUGAUGUCUGAAACUUACUUUGAAACGCAUCCAAAAAAAUAACAUGGAUAGAAGAUUGAGUGCACGCAUGCAUGCACGCACAUACACACAUGAUAAGACAAACAUAGUAAAAUAUUAAUGGUAAGACCUAGAUGGUGGGUAUAUGAAUGUUUACUACAAAAUUCUUUUACUUUCUAUGUUUGAAAUUUUUCAAAAUUAAAUAUUGGAGGAAAAAAUUCCCUGACCUAGAGGAACCACAGUUUUCUGACUGGGGACACCAAUUUUGAGGAGGCUUCUUCUAUCUCUGCAUUUAGACAUUUAGGCACCUCUCACCAAGACUCACUCAGGAGAAAAGAGUCAUUCUGAUCCCUCUCCGCACCUCCAGGCACCUACACAGAUCAGGGAAGCUGAGACUCACCCUCUGUGGGAAGAACUCGUCCUUGCUGUCCCAGUGCUCCUGUCACCCUCUUCUGAAUACCAAAUUGUUCUGGAAAAAUCACCUGGAGGCACCAGAUCAAAGGCUGAGCAGAACGGGCGUCAGGCUUAAGACUUUGCACUGAGAGGGAACACUCGACCACGUUGAUAAGUAUUCCUUCUUAAUCUGCUGAGUUUCUUUAGAAAUGACAUUUCAGCUUCUG